rnacentral:rRNA from 1 species
AACGAACGCUGGCGGCAGGCCUAACACAUGCAAGUCGAACGCUGUAGCAAUACAGAGUGGCAGACGGGUGAGUAACGCGUGGGAACCUUCCCAGUGGUGCGGAAUAGCUCAGGGAAACUUGAGGUAAUACCGCAUAAGCCCCUAGGGGGAAAGAUUUGUCGCCAUUGGAUGGGCCCGCGUCGGAUUAGCUAGUUGGUGAGGUAAUGGCUCACCAAGGCAACGAUCCGUAGCUGGUUUGAGAGAAUGACCAGCCACACUGGGACUGAGACACGGCCCAGACUCCUACGGGAGGCAGCAGUGGGGAAUCUUGGACAAUGGGCGCAAGCCUGAUCCAGCCAUGCCGCGUGAGUGACGAAGGCCUUAGGGUUGUAAAGCUCUUUUGCCGGGGACGAUAAUGACGGUACCCGGAGAAUAAGUCCCGGCUAACUUCGUGCCAGCAGCCGCCGUAACAC